UAAUACUCGCGGUCCGAGUCGCAGCCAUUUUUAUUGGGUCUAAAAUAUCCGUAGCUUGCUUGAAAAGUUUCUUGUGAAAUCUCAUGUCUUAAACACGGGGCGAGCGAGAAAUACUUUCAAGCUAGAGACUGGAAGACGUAGAAAGUACGUUCAGAGUAGCGGUUGAAUGUGUUAAUCCUGAACGGACUAACGAGAGCGAAGGCAUUUUACGAGGACAGUUCUGACAGUUAAGGAUGAAGGCUAGGGGCGCAAAGCGGAUUAGAUACCCGUGUAGUCCUAGCAGUAAACACUGCAUACUAAACAUCAGUACCUCCCCGAGAGGCAUUGGUGCUGCAGGGAAGCCGAAGAGUGUGCUACCUGGGAAGUAUAGUCGCAAGGCCG
rnacentral:rRNA from 1 species